rnacentral:lncRNA from 1 species
GCUAUAUUGUAUAUUAUUUAUUUGGUAUGCCUUUGCUUUUGCUUUAUUGUAUUUAAAAUCGAACAAAAUACAGAUAUUAAGGGAGUACAAUGUUGAUUAAUCUAUUUUGCAAAAGAAGACAUUUCUCAACUCUAUAAAUUUGAAAAAAAUAUGAACCCUAAUGCCUAUGAGGGACAAUCGCGAGAAUAAACGCAUAUACAUACAUCAUGAGAUUUUCUUUUCGCACAUAGUCCUUGUCCAUCCUGAUAGCGAUAAACACAUAUGAGAUUGCAUAGAGAUGCACGACAAGGAUUAAGGUACAGCUCUUUCAAACAUAAUACCCCUUCUGCCCUUGCCGCAGUAAAAACUACAAAAAUUAAAAAAAAAAGUAACAGAAAUAUACUCCGUCCACUGCCUCCUCUUCUCAACGAUACCCUCUGCCGCCUCCUCUUCUUGGUGACGCCGCUGCCGCCACCUCUUCUUGAUAACAUAAUAGUUUUUACUUUUUUUAUAUGAUGAUCAUAUCAAAGUGCACUCGAUUUUUUAGUCUAUUUUAAGCUCAAUCAUCAAAUAAUCAACAUUAUAUAUGUGUCUUUAAUUUUCAAACCAUAGUUAUAAUAAUAAUAAUAAUAAUAAUAAUAAUAAUAAUAAUUUAUUUUUGAAAACUUUCUUAACAUUUGUAUAUAGGUAUGCUUAAAUAUAUAUUGUACCAGAAAUAAUUAAAAUAAGGGCAAAAAUUGCAGCAUAGGAAAUCUUAGCCAUCAUAUUAAGGCAUAAACUCUUAUGGCUUGGAUACUGUUGCAGAGUGACUUCUAUCUGUUAUUAGUGGGCUUUAGAUGGUUUGUGCCAAUAUAAAUAGGAGUCUUUGG